GCUCCCGUAGUUAAAUGGAUAUAACAACCCCGUCCUAAGGGGUAAUUGUGGGUUCGAUUCCUGCCGGGAGCACAA
rnacentral:tRNA from 2 species